rnacentral:rRNA from 1 species
UUAGCGUCAAAAUUGAUUUAUAAACCUCAUCCUCCCGGGGGCUAUAAGCAGAGCUCAAAACCCAAAAGGGCUGGCGGGGCUUUUAAACCCCCCAGAGGGGCCUUUUUUAUAACUGAUAAUCCCCGUUAACCUCCCCCCUUCCUGUCUUUUCCGCCCCUAUAUCGCCGUCGUUCGCUUACACUGUGAAAACCAAUAGUGAGCAAUAUUGGUAAAACCCCAAACGUCAGGUCGAGGUGUAGUAAAUGAAGGGGGAAGAAAUAGGCUACAUUCGUUGACUAACGAUACGAAAAAAAUGUAGAAAAAUACUACGAAGGAGGAUUUAGCAGUAAGAAGAUGCUACCCUAUUUCCUGAAAGCGGCUCUGGAGCGCGCACACCCCGCCUGCCC